rnacentral:rRNA from 1 species
UACAGAGGGUGCAAGCGUUGUUCGGAAUUAUUGGGCGUAAAGCGCGUGUAGGCGGCUUUGCAAGUCGGGUGUGAAAGCCCUCAGCUCAACUGAGGAAGGGCGCCCGAAACUGCAGAGCUUGAGUACCGGAGAGGGUAGCGGAAUUCCCCAAGUAGAGGUGAAAUUCGUAGAUAUGGGGAGGAACACCGGUGGCGAAGGCGGCCACCUGGACGGUCACUGACGCUGAGACGCGAAAGCGUGGGUAGCAAACAGG